UACAGAGGUCUCAAGCGUUGUUCGGAAUCACUGGGCGUAAAGGGUGCGUAGGCUGCACGGUAAGUCAGAGGUGAAAUCCCGGAGCUCAACUUCGGAAUUGCCUCCGAUACUGCCGUGCUUGAGGACUGGAGAGGAGACUGGAAUUUAUGGUGUAGCAGUGAAAUGCGUAGAGAUCAUAAGGAAGACCAGUGGCGAAGGCGGGUCUCUGGACAGUUCCUGACACUGAGGCACGAAGGCCAGGGGAGCAAACGGG
rnacentral:rRNA from 1 species